rnacentral:rRNA from 1 species
AUUGAACGCUGGCGGCAGGCCUAACACAUGCAAGUCGAGCGCGCGGCGGACGUGUUGGUAAUGUCUGUGACUCUGCCUGAUGGAUGGGGAUAACUACUGGAAACUGUCACUCAUACCGCAUUCCUUCACCUGGGCCCAUGUGGGAUUAGCUUGUAGGUGGGGUAACGGCUCACCAAGGCGACUAUCCCUAGCUGGUCUGAGAGGAUGAUCAGUCACACUGGAACUGAGACACGGUCCAGACGCCUACGGGAGGAAGCAGUGGGGAAUAUUGAACAAUGGGCGAAAGCCUGAUGCAGCCAUGCCGCGUGUAUGAAGAAGGACUUCGGGGUGUAAAGUACUGUAAGUGGGGAGGCGUUACCAGCAGAAUAAGCACCGGCUAACUCCGUGCCAGCAGCCGCGGUAAUAC